rnacentral:rRNA from 1 species
UACAGAGGUCCCGAGCGUUGUUCGGAUUCACUGGGCGUAAAGGGUGCGUAGGUGGCAUGGUAAGUUUGAUGUGAAAGCUCAGGGCUUAACCCUGAAAUGGCAUUGAAUACUACUGUGCUGGAGGUUUGGAGGGGGGACUGGAAUUCUUGGUGUAGCAGUGAAAUGCGUAGAUAUCAAGAGGAACACCAGUGGCGAAGGCGAGUCCCUGGACAACACCUGACACUGAGGAGCGAAAGCCAGGGGAGCAAACGGG